UCAUCAUAAAACGCCACAAACAUCUCUUAAUAGAUUGAAAACAGCUUUUAGAGCCCCAAGUUCCCUUUACUUUCCCCUAUUCAGAUUACCCCAACGUCUGACUCCCCAAACCUUGAAUCUCCAAAUCCCCUAAAAUUUCCCCCAAUUCAAUAUACUCAAAUCGGUUUUCCAAAAUCCCCAAAUCAAAAUACCUUUGAUUUUUGUCGAAGUCCCUUUGAUUUUUUUUUUUUUUCAUUUUCAUUUUCAUUUAUCAUUGAAAGAAAAUAAAAGAGGAAAAAAAACGUUUUGAUAAACUUGAAGAAGAGAUGGCAAAAUUGUUGAAGCCAGCAUCCUCCGAUGAAGAACUGUACAAUGCUUUGAGUUCAUUGAAGAAGAGCGAAUGAACGCUCAUGUCAACGGCGAAGAAGACGAUGAGGAGGAGAUUGAAGCUGUUGCUCGUUCCACCGACGCCUCCGACAAAGAUGAUGACGCCGUCCCUGAAGAAAACGCGGAUGAUGCUGAUGAUGUAGUUUUACGAUGCUGAUGAGCGGUUGAAGUAUCUUUUGCAGUAGACAGUUGUCUGAGCAAUAGUUGCUGUUGGUGCACCUCACCUUGCUUGAUAAUAAUUUAUUUAAUGUAAUUUGAAGGUGUCAGUUGCAUCACGUAAAGAGCAUUUUUGGUAUUAUUCAAGUAUAAACCUAAAAAUUUAAUGGUAUGGGCAGGGAUAAGUCUUUCUUUAAUACUUGGUAGCAAGCACCACAACCAACACCAUUGCGGUAGAGGUCAGAUACUGCCGAUACAUCUCCACCAUUUAUUGUUGCUCCAAAGGAACCAAAACUGCAUGCGCCAACUGAAUUCAAUUUAAAGAUGUUAGCCAAGUAUUUAUGUUGGUGCUAUGCACAAGAAAAGGAAAUGUCUGUUCCUUUAAGAAGCAAAGUUGUGAAAAGGAUCAAAAGGGAUUGAAUAGAAAGAGCCAUAGAUGCGUUAAUGAGCAAAGAUUACAAAGAAAGCAAUUGAUAUAAGGUGGUAGUACAUGCAAUAUCGGGGUCUGCAGCUGGAAUUUAUAGUGAAGCAAGCAGCCACAAUAUCUUAAUUUGGUAGUCAAUAAGCACUAAAACUGAUUUUUCACAGUUUUCUUCUUCUAUUUCAGCAUUUUCAACAGCUACGUACCAUGGUUUUCAAUAGGAAUUACUUGAGUUAGGGGAGAGUGUUGGAACACAAAGUCGGGGUCUCACCCAAGAACUUAUUUCAUUGCUACCUGUUUCAAAAUACAAGUGCAGCUUAUUCUCAAGGAAGAAAUCAAGGACAGAGAGCUAUGUCGUUGAUGUAUGGAAUCUUGCAGGGUUUAGCUAUGUUUUUUUACUGUUGAAUUGGUUGUUGACACUAUGGUAGGUGUGACUUCUGAUCAUGAACAAAGCAGAUGGUUUACAAUCCUAUGGAGUAUAUGGAAAUUUUGAAAUUUGUUUAUAUGGCAAAAUAAAACUGUUUGGGGAGCAUUGUUGUGCAUUUUGCUAAUGAUUUUCUACUUCAGUAAGACACUUCUAGGGCAUAUUUGAACUAGUCCAGCUGGGAUUAUUGCAUGCUGGCGGAGGUACAAUUUGUUAAACUAAACUAGAGCCUAACUGUUUGAAAUGCAAUAUCAACACAACAUGUAUGGCAGCAGACACUGUGACUACUUUUGGUACGGUCCUUCACGAUGCCGAGGGGCGUUUUGUAGUCAGCUUGACUGUUUUCUUCUCGGUACUAUAUGAUCCACUUAUGGCCAAAACACUGCUCAUCCGAGAGGUUCUCUCUUGGAUUAGUCAAAAAGGUGGGACAAUGUUCAUGUUGAGUCAAAUAGUAAGGAUGCUAUUACUUCACCGAAUGAUCAAAUUUUGGGAAUAUGUGAAUAUUGUUUAAUUUUGUGCAAUUGUUUACAUUUGAAAGUAUAUUUUCAAUGUUUGUCCUUCCAUUAGACACGUCAAACUAUUAAUAAGACGACUCAUAGUCUGGUUAGAAUGGCCUUAUCCCUA